GAUGAACGCUGGCGGCGUGCCUAAUACAUGCAAUUCGAGCGAACAGACGAGGAGCUUGCUCCUCUGACGUUAGCGGCGGACGGGUGAGUAACACGUGGAUAACCUACCUAUAAGACUGGGAUAACUUCGGGAAACCGGAGCUAAUACCGGAUAAUAUAUUGAACCGCAUGGUUCAAUAGUGAAAGACGGUUUUGCUGUCACUUAUAGAUGGAUCCGCGCCGCAUUAGCUAGUUGGUAAGGUAACGGCUUACCAAGGCAACGAUGCGUAGCCGACCUGAGAGGGUGAUCGGCCACACUGGAACUGAGACACGGUCCAGACUCCUACGGGAGGCAGCAGUAGGGAAUCUUCCGCAAUGGGCGAAAGCCUGACGGAGCAACGCCGCGUGAGUGAUGAAGGUCUUCGGAUCGUAAAACUCUGUUAUUAGGGAAGAACAAAUGUGUAAGUAACUAUGCACGUCUUGACGGUACCUAAUCAGAAAGCCACGGCUAACUACGUG
rnacentral:rRNA from 1 species